UGGAGACCCACUUCACAACAAUCUGGAGGCCUCAGUGGUCGGUUCCCAGGCAGUGAGAAGACUUCCACUCCACAUCAAUUACAGAUCUCACUGUCACCUGG